AGUUAAAUAAAUAAAAGAUUAAAAUAAAUAAAUGUUUUUUGUGCGCAACAAAUGAAACAACUAACCAGGCAAUUAAUUAAUAAAAAAAUAAAAAAAAACUAAAUAAAAUAAGAAAAUUUAUACAAUUCACACACUAACUGAAAAUUAAAUAAAUAUAACACCCAACAAUUAAUUGACAACAAACAAACCAACCAACCUACUUUUAACAAUUAUCCAACUAAAUAAUACUUGCAGUGAAAUCCGCCUGAUUUGAAUUUUGCCAGAACUGAAUUGAAAAGAAACUGCUGUUAAAAAUUGUGGUUAAAUAAUAAUAAAAAAAUAAAUAAAUAAAAAAUUGUGUAGAGUACUAGAUAAAUUUGCAUAAAAAUGCAAACAAAUUAAAAAAUCAAAUUCGUGUAUUUGAUAUAAGAAAAAAUUAGAAAAAAAUUAAAAAAAAUGUUAUAAACCAAACUACACUUAAACUAUUAAUAAUAAAUAAUACAAAUAUCAAAUUAAAAUUGAUUGACACUAUCUGACAUACAGACUGACUGACGCACAGACAGACAGACAAACAAACAAAAUAACAUGCAGUAGACUUUGUCGAAUGGUUGGUUGCAUUAACAAACAGAAAAAUUACACUUUAGUUGCCUGUACAGAAAAAAGGAAAAAUAAAAAAACAAGUUUUUUUUUCUUCAAACCAAAAGGUAUUGAAGAUUUGUAAAGAAAAAAAAUAUCAGAAAAAAUUAUCAAGAAAAUUGUGCAAAAAAUAUCUAAGUUUGUGUUAUUGUAUAAAAAUAAAAUGAAUAAAUACCAGAAAAGAUAACGUGGAAAAUGUCAAUCAAAAUUUGUUGAAUUAAAGAAAAAAUGUGAAAUAAAUAUAAAAUCUAAUGAAAAGGUGAAAAAAUUGCAUUUUUCCCCUACAAAUAUGUAAAUUGAGAAAAAUUCUUCGAAAUGUAGGAAGUGAAGUGUUAGUUAGUAAUCACAACGUAAAUAGUUUAAGAAAGAACGCAUCAAGAAUUGAAAUUCUGGUUUCUGUGAAAAAUAAUGGUGUAAAAAAUUUGCCUUAAUGAGUGUUAAUGAAACAUCAAUUAAAUAUUCCGAAGGAAGUUCAGCUAUGUUGCCAUAAACCAAAAACACUAUUCAACGGAAACAAAUACUUUCUACUAUAUGCAACUACUUACAACUACAGCAACAACAAACUGCCAUCAAGACAAAACAAGUGCCACAAUUUACAAACAAAUUAAAAUUUAUACAAAACAACACAAAUAAUACCAAAGUAAACACUUUUAAAACGAAAUAAAACUUUGAAAAUAACAAUAAGAAAAUAAUAAAAUUUUAACAGAAACCAACAACUCUCGUAUUAAAAGCAAAACUUCAAAUAGAAAAUUUAUUUAAUAUUCAAAACAAAAUUUUCUCAGAAAAACAAAAAUAAAAGGAAAACAUUUGCCAACUGAAUGUAAUUGCAACAAGAUUUAAAUUGAAAACUUUUUCUGAAAAGAAAAAUCUAAAAUCCUUGAUUUUUUUCAAAAGAAGAAAGUUAAACUAUCAUUAGCUGGCUGGUAUCCAAAACUAUUGUUUGGCCUUGUAUUAGUUGAAUUUUUGUCGAAUCUGCUUUUAGUUUGCGUGUGUGUGUGAGUAGCAUCUACAAUUCAAUGUAAUUGCGGAAAUUGUCCACAAUUUGUUGAUGAUUGCAAAUUACUUCUGUGUGCCGUUUUUAUUGUGAAAACGCAGCGAGCAGGACAGACAACGAACAUACACCAAAAUCUUUAACUAAUGUGCCACAAAAUUGUGGAGAAUGUAACUGUGAUGCAACAGUUUGCCAACACUGUGUGGCCUACAAUAUAACUGGCCCAGUUAAUUUAAAUGAAACAUUUUUGCACGACUCAUCUUAGAACAUUUGUUGCUGGUAUUUAAGGAAAAUCUAUCACAAGUAAUAUAACUUCAACAUGCACAAUGGUGUUAUGGACAUCAACCAUAAUAAAUGAUUUUCCAGAUUAUUCAACAAAACAAUAAUUCUGUGGAUUAUAUUAAGUCAUGCUGUCAUCUACUCCUAUCUCUCUUGAAUGGUAAGUUUAAUAAUUUAUUACCAAAUUUUUUCGCAAAA
rnacentral:lncRNA from 1 species